rnacentral:misc_RNA from 1 species
UUCGCCGGCUGUCGGUGCUUCACACAAUUUUUAUGAGAUUAGUACCUAUAAUUUUAUUGCAGAAUGGUGCUCUUUCGCCUUUUUAGAGUAAUACCUAGCGUCCGUGUUUCCUCAAAAGAUGUGAGAACUGACUCGGCAAAGAAAGGGACGUUGAAAACAUUCUUGAUUAGAAAUAUAUCUUCUUCAAUAGCGUUACAAGGCCUUGACCACAAGACAGUGGUGCAAGCUGUCCAGAGACAAGAAGAUAGAGAUUACGUUGGUCCUCCACAUCCUGUGUCCAAGUUGCGUCCAGUGCUUUAUUGUACUGCAAAACAAGAGACUCCAUUGCAAGCUGCUCACCGUACUUCUCUUCUUGAGACUCAAAGCUGGAACCAAAACUAUUGGCUGCAACACAAUACUGCAUUUGAGAAAGAGAAACAAGCAUUCAUAACCAAGAAGUUAUCAGAAAAAUACUCCAUAGCUUCAAGACAUGGCAAUGAGGAUCAGCUCACUCUAACAUCUGAAGAGAUGGCUGAAUUCUACAAGCAAUUUUUAGAUCAGAACUUUGACCAGCACAUGCAAUACAAUCGAGAAUGGUAUAAGAGAAAUUUUAAGCACAUUAUUAUGGCUGCUAAAGUGUGGAUUGAGAGCAAAAGAAGAUAGCUAAUGUUUCUUAUUCAUUCAAUAUUAUGAUUAUUUUAAGUCAAUUAUAUUGUUGGAGAGGGAGAAAAUCAUAGUUGGAGUAUCUGUUGCAGAAAUAUUAUUAAGAGUAAUUUUUAAGAUUGUUAUUUUAUCUGAAGCUUGUCUGCAUCAUUUAUUUACCGCAAUAUGAUACCUAUUCAUCAAGUCUGAACCUUGAAACCACCUCAUCAUAAGUUCCAUUUACGCAAGUUUUAAAAAAUAAUGGACUAUGCAAAACGAGUAAAACCAUCAUCCACACUGGGCAAGUUUGCUGCACUGGGUUGGCUGUACCUAGUGCAAGGAAUUCCUUAUGGACUGCAGGACAAAUUUAUCCCGUUGCAACUCCGCGCUCGUGGACUCAACUAUUCAAGCGUGGGCGCCGUGAAGGCCGUACUGGUUCCGUGGGUCACGAAGGGCUUGUGGGCGCCGGCGCUGCAGCUUUAUGGCAACCGACGGCGGUGGCUGUUGGCAGCACUGCUGCUCCUGGCUGCUGCCUCCUUUGCCGGCAGUUUGUGCGACGCAGCAGAGGACCUGCCAGCGGUGGUGGUGGUGCUACUGACGCUGAACGCUGCGUGCGCCGUACAGGACGUGGUUGUGGACGGUCUGGCCCUCGUAUGGCUUCAGGACUCUCAUCUCGGGCUGGUCAACUCCAUGCAGGUUGUAUUGUAUAAGGUGGGAAGUUUAUGUGGAGGCGGCGGUCUUCUUCUCCUGCUGCCAUUGACGUCUUGGCGGACUUGUCUUCUGCUGCUGGCGGGCGUCUAUGUGGUCACUGCUCUCUGGGUGCUCAUUUUACCCUCACAACUCGGGCAGAAAUAUUUAAAGCCCAAAGAAAUUAAUCUUGAGCAUGAUGACUUCAGUCCAAAAGUUGAAGCUCGUGGAGAAAAAUCACAGUAUGUAUCUAAAGAUACAGCGAAGAAACGAAUUUCUUCUAAUUUUAGGAAGGAUGCACUCGUAAGCUGUAUUGAUGGAAAAUUUUCAGAAUGCUCGGAAGUCGAGGUAGAAAACCAAAGUUUUCUGUCCAUCUUACGCGCUGUUUUCUCUGCUGAUGGGUCGACUUGGUUAGCUCUGUAUGUGGCUUUGUAUAAGAUGGCAGAAAGAGGUACAUUCAAUAACUUUCCACUGCUCCUGCUGGAUAAAAAUGUGAGUAUGGUCGAGCUGAGUUUCUGGAAUGGUUUGGUGUCGCAAAUGCUAUCCAUUUUAGGAUCUGUGUACGGUGGAAUUGCACUGUCAAAACCAUCAGCUGACUGCAGUUCAAUGCUCUCAUCUCAUUCUUUACAAAGACUAGGGUUGACUUUAUUACAAAGCUACUGCGUAUACGCUCUUCCUUCUUCUAUUGAACCCAAUUCUCUUUUAUUCUACACGUGCAUCUUUUCUUUGUGUUACUUGAGCUUCACAACAGGCGUUAUAUCCACGCUCACCUUCACACUCAUGAUGCGCUAUUCCAAGCGUCUUCAAGAGGAGUUACAAGCGACGCAUUACAGCGUCUUUGCUUCGGUUGAAGUUGCUGGUAAACUCGUUUUUGCAACGACUGCUGGCUACUUGGUCGAUGUCUUUGGAGUACAAAGUGCCUUCCUUCUUUUUUCAAUACUCAGUGCUGUGCCGGUUGUUUUACUUGUUUUUGAGCCUCGUUGCCGUACUUCUGAAAAAAUAAAACGUUGAAUCAUUAUUUGAUGUUCGAACGCGCUCUUUUGUCUAUAAUUAGCCUCAUUAUGAGCAACAGGCGUAUUCAACUCGUAGAUGGGCUGGAUAACCGGCCGACAUAUAUAUUUAAUGUCAAUUCAAAAACAAAAUACGGCGCGUCAUGUUUCAUUGAUUUUAACGAGCCUGGUGUAAAAAUUUUUGGUUUGCUAAGCCUGUUUAUAAAGUAUUAUAUGUAAUUAGUAGGAGUUAUGUCUAGUGGGUUAAAAGUGCCUUUUUAACCUCGGUUUUCACAGCCAUCUGUAUUCUCUGUUUAGUACAAUAAUACUGUAUUGAAAUUUAAAACAAUGUUAGUUGUGAGCCUAAUUUCUCAUUCAUCAACGAUAAUAACCUUUUACUGCCAAUAAUGUACACAGCAUCUGAAGUGCUUGUUGAACUGGUUAUAAAUUGUUGAAUUAUUAUUAUUAUUUAAUCACAAAAUUGUGGCCCGGAUGUUAUUGUUUUCAGUCUUCUCGCUGUCUGUUUGUAUUUAAUCCUCAUCUGAAUUCUUCUCGCUCUGUGACUUUUAACUCAGUUGUAAGCGAAUAUAUUUGAUGCUUGGUGCGUAGAAUAUUUAUUUCCUAGUGAAUGAUCAUGUAAUAUGGGGUUUUAUUGUUAAUUACUAUUUACUAACGUUAUCUAUAUCUUUAGAGGUCUUUUUGUAUUCAAAUGUGUAUCCGGAGUAUCAUCAUUUCAAUAUUUGUCGUGUUUUUCUGUUAAACCGUAAAAUUAUUCAGCAAAAUACCUAGCUUGGGAAGAUAAAGUGUGCGUUAGCAAGUUUAGUUGAUUCAAACUUACCUUCCUGACUAUAUGAAACUAACGCAUCAUUAAUAUAGCCGUAUGAGAAAUU